ACCGCUCCGGUUUAAAUUUCUUGGAACAGAAUGUCAAAGAGGGUGAGAACCCCGUCUUGGACCGGCAGUAGGGCCCAUGUGAAACUCCUUCGACGAGUCGAGUUGUUUGGGAAUGCAGCUCAAAAUGGGUGGUAAAUUUCAUCUAAAGCUAAAUAUUGGCCAGAGACCGAUAGCGCACAAGUAGAGUGAUCGAAAGAUGAAAAGCACUUUGAAAAGAGAGUUAAACAGUACGUGAAAUUGUUGAAAGGGAAGCGCUUGCAACCAGACUUGCGCGCGGCGGUUCCCCCUUCCUUUUGGUUGGGUUAUUCCGCCGUGUCCAGGCCAACAUCGGUUCUGGGGGUCGGUUAAAGGCCUGGGGAAUGUAUCUACCCUUCGGGCGUAGACUUAUAGCCCCGGGUGUCAUGCGACCUCCCGGGACCGAGGAACGCGCUUCGGCUCGGAUGUUGGCGUAAUGGUUGUCAGCGACCCGUCUUGAAACACGGACCAAGGAGUCUAACAUCUAUGCGAGUGUUUGGGUGUCAAACCCGGAACGCGGAAUGAAAGUGAACGGAGGUAGGAAGCUUCGGCUGCACUAUCGACCGAUCCUGAUGUCUUCGGAUGGAUUUGAGUAAGAGCAUAGCUGUUGGGACCCGAAAGAUGGUGAACUAUGCCUGAAUAGGGUGAAGCCAGAGGAAACUCUGGUGGAGGCUCGCAGCGGUUCUGACGUGCAAAUCGAUCGUCAAUUUGGGUAUAGGGGCGAAAGACUAAUCGAACCAUCUAGUAGCUGGUCCUGCGA
rnacentral:rRNA from 1 species